AGUGAACGCUGGCGGCGUGCUUAACACAUGCAAGUCGAACGAGAACGGAUUAUAGCUUGCUAUAAUUGUCAGCUAAGUGGCGCACGGGUGAGUAAUAUAUAGGUAACGUGCCCUAGAGAGGGGGAUAACAGUUGGAAACGAUUGCUAACACCCCAUAUGCCUUUAAGACUUAAGUCUGCAAGGGAAAUAUUUAUAGCUCUAGGAUCGGCCUGUACAGUAUCAGUUAGUUGGUGAGGUAAUGGCUCACCAAGACAAUGACGCUUAACUGGUUUGAGAGGAUGAUCAGUCACACUGGAACUGAGACACGGUCCAGACUCCUACGGGAGGCAGCAGUGGGGAAUAUUGCACAAUGGACGAAAGUCUGAUGCAGCAACGCCGCGUGGAGGAUGGCACAUUUCGGUGCGUAAACUCCUUUUAUAUAGGAAGAUAAUGACGGUACUAUAUGAAUAAGCACCGGCUAACUCCGUGCCAGCA
rnacentral:rRNA from 1 species